rnacentral:misc_RNA from 1 species
AUAUAAUUGGUCGGGCGCGACAUCGUUUCACCAAACAAAUGUCGCGAUUACAUUGAUAUCAUUUUCAGUGUUUCACAAAGAAACUUGACGACCUAGUCUGGUGCAUAGUAUUUAUAUACAUACAUAGAUAACAGCUAUCUAAUUGAGGAAAAGUCAUAAUUGUGCUCUGUGACGUAAAACGACGCGACGGUCCAGCAGACGAUCGACGAAUGGAUAGGCUCCAGGGCACGAAAAUAUUUGUAUUUUCGCAGCAAUCCGGCUGACGACGUUAUUUUUCUUCAUGGCCACUAUCGAGCAAGCAAACGAAAAUAUGUACCAUUUUUCGUUCACUCGCUUUCUAUGGAAAGAUAAAGAAUGAUACGUGAUUUGUAUAAGGUUGUUUGGCGCGAGAUGAAAACGGUCUGACGAGUUUGGAAUUCAAAGAUUAUUUGCAAUUUACAAUCUCCAACGUGAUCUCGAUGAUUCGUCGGGCUGUAAUCAAUGGGAAUUCCUGGAAAGGCAUUGUUUUCAGAAAGAAAUAAAGCGUAAAAUAUGAAAAUGAUAUGAUGACAAAGGCUCGGAUAAUCAGCUGCUUAUCUUGACUUUAUCAAUAAGCAAUUCAUAAAACAUUUCAUUCUAGAAGACAAUUUAUCGAUGUUCUAAACAUAGCGACGGUUCAAUUUCAAAAGAAUACAUUUCUUUUUGCAAUUAUUGUUUCCAAAAGGAAUGAAAAUCGGUGACCAUAUUGGCAACAGAUUAAGAUAGAGAGUUUAAUGUGACAGAGAUUUGUAAAA